UACAGAGGUCUCAAGCGUUGUUCGGAUUCAUUGGGCGUAAAGGGUGCGUAGGCGGCGCGGUAAGUCGGGUGUGAAAAUCUCGGAGCUUAACUCCGAAACUGCAUUCGAUACUGCCGUGCUUGAGGACUGGAGAGGAGACUGGAAUUUACGGUGUAGCGGUGAAAUGCGUAGAUAUCGUAAGGAAGACCAGUGGCGAAGGCGGGUCUCUGGACAGUUCCUGACGCUGAGGCACGAAGGCCCAGGGGGAGCAAAACGGGG
rnacentral:rRNA from 1 species